UGGGGAAUAUUGCACAAUGGAGGAAACUCUGAUGCAGCGACGCCGCGUGAGUGAAGAAGUAUUUCGGUAUGUAAAGCUCUAUCAGCAGGGAAGAAAAUGACGGUACCUGACUAAGAAGCACCGGCUAAAUACGUGCCAGCAGCCGCGGUAAUACGUAUGGUGCAAGCGUUAUCCGGAUUUACUGGGUGUAAAGGGAGCGUAGGUGGCAAGGCAAGCCAGAAGUGAAAACCCGGGGCUCAACCGCGGGAUUGCUUUUGGAACUGUCAUGCUAGAGUGCAGGAGGGGUGAGCGGAAUUCCUAGUGUAGCGGUGAAAUGCGUAGAUAUUAGGAGGAACACCGGAGGCGAAGGCGGCUCACUGGACUGUAACUGACACUGAGGCUCGAAAGCGUGGGGAGCAAA
rnacentral:rRNA from 1 species